rnacentral:lncRNA from 1 species
AGACUGAAAAAAACCGAAGCUAUGAAUUAGAACUUCGACAUAGAAGCCUCGCCGGAAGCUUCGAACGGAUCUCACACGACUCAGUCUUAAUCGGACUCCAUUAAAAACCAAAGGUCUCGAACGAGCAUCGCGACGACCUCGAACAAAAUUGUUUGUUGUUAUGGGGCUGUUCUGCUGCGUUUUUUGGAGCUAUUUUUGAGCCGUUUUUCAGCUUUAUUUUGAGCUUUCGGAACAGUUUUUCAUGACCAGAAUUGCUGACUUCAACAGUGGUCUAUGGGUUGGUUUUAACUGGUUUUAAGGCAGAGUUUUUCAUGAUUGUUUAGGGUAUUUUGGAACUGAUUUGAAGUGUUUUCUGGAGGAUGGUGGCUUGCUGAUUUCUAAAGGAAGCGAGGGUGGUCGUUCUUAUGGGUGUCGCAGGUUCUAAG